rnacentral:rRNA from 1 species
GACGAACGCUGGCGGCGUGCCUAAUACAUGCAAGUCGAACGAACCGCGACUAGGUGCUUGCACUUGGUCAAGGUGAGUGGCGAACGGGUGAAUAACACGUGGGUAACCUACCUCAUAGUGGGGGAUAACAGUCGGAAACGACUGCUAAUACCGCAUAGGACAUAGGAUCACAUGAUCCAGUGAGGAAAGGUGGCGCAAGCUAUCGCUAAGAGAUGGACCCGCGGUGCAUUAGCUAGUUGGUAGGGUAAAGGCCUACCAAGGCGAUGAUGCAUAGCCGACCUGAGAGGGUGAUCGGCCACAUUGGGACUGAGACACGGCCCAAACUCCUACGGGAGGCAGCAGUAGGGAAUCUUCCGCAAUGGACGCAAGUCUGACGGAGCAACGCCGCGUGAGUGAAGAAGGUCUUCGGAUCGUAAAGCUCUGUUGUUAGAGAAGAACAGCGCAUAGAGUAACUGUUAUGCGUGUGACGGUAUCUAACCAGAAAGCCACGGCUAACUACGUG